ensembl:lncRNA
AUGAGCCGUGUUAAGCGGUUCUCAACAAGUUCAAUAUUAAAUAGACAUAACCUUCCAAGAAGACUCACAUUCUCCUGUUUACACAGACGAUACACCAAAUUACAAGAAAAUACAACAGGGUUUGUUAACUCUGCUUAUAGAAAAUGAGGAGCAAAGAAUUUGCAUCAGGUCUGUUUUGCGUUUAAUUUUUAAAAAUAAUUUAUGAAGCCACUUUUAUCUGUAUCGCAUAAAAACUUAUGAAUUGUUAUAUUGCAAUCCUGUCUAUCCAGAGGUGGAAAGAGUACAAAAAUAUUCUACUCAAGUAAAAGUACCAUUACAUUAAUGAAACUUUACUUAAGUACAAGUAAAAGUAUCAGUCUAAAAAUCUACUCAAGUAAAAGUAAAAAGUAGCUCAUUUAAAUUUUACUCAGAGUAAAAAUUAUUUAGUUACAUUUUAACAGUGGGAGGCAAAAAUAUGACCAAGGGUGUCAAACUCAGUUCCUGGAGGGCCACAGUCCUGCACAGUUUAGAUAUAACCUUAAUUAAACACACCUGAUCCAGCUAAUGUAAUCAUUUAGGCUUAUCUGAAAACUAGAUGAUAUGUGUGCUGAAGCAGGGUUAGAACUAAACUCUGCAGGGCUACGGCCCUCCAGGAACUGAGUUUGACACCCCUGGGAUAGGCCUAUUAAUCUCAGACUAGUUGUUUUUAAUUAAAGGAAUCAGUUAUUUAGAAUAAAAAGACAUUUGGGCUGUUACCAGGCAAAUCAGUAUCAACAAACUCAUCUUUUCAAUGCAGAGGAAAUGCAGAAGCUUCAUCAGAAGUGGCAUUUAGAUGUAUUUACACACUGUUUAGUGCAGGACAAGAAUGCAUUUAACCUGCAGUUACAAAUGCAUGAAUAAUGUUUUGAUAUGCAAGACAUAAAAUGUUGAAUACUCAUUUGAAAUAAGAAAUUAUUUAUUUAAAAAAAAAAAUCAAAAGAUACUUUAAAUGUGAAAUUAAAAUGGCCAGUAUGUGUCAGCAAGUCACUGUUAAUAAGUGAGUCAUUGCGAUUGAACCGAAUCAUUUAAACAGUUGAUUCAUUCAGGAACGAAACACUAUCAUGUUGCUCAGAGACGCAAAACUGUGGUGGCUGUGUUUGGAAUUAUUUUUUGUUGUAGAAAUAGAAAUAGAGCAAAAAUAGGCAAUAUGGUGUCUAAAACGCAAGUCUCUUAAUUAACUUGUUUACUGACCUGUUGUAAAAAAAAUAAAAAAAAAUAAAUAAAUUACAUAUGUGUGUGUGUGUGUAUGUGUGUGUUAUCAUGAUGAUUUUUGGAGGAAAAGAUGGCAUUCUUUGUGUGAUUUUGAUUUACUUUAUGAAAUGAUAUUAAUAUGUAAAUUUUCUGCUCCUCUUCAAUUUUGUGAUCAUUCUAAAUGCAUUUUAGCAGACUGAAUCACACAGUGAAAGAACACACUAUAAAUAAGCGCCCACAUCAUUAAAACAACAAUUAUGAUAUUAUCGCACACUCCGCAACACUGUCUUUUUGGCUAAUUU